rnacentral:pre_miRNA from 1 species
GAGAGCUGCGGGUUCUUACCAGUCAGGCUCUGGCUAUAUUCCAGGACACACUUGUUCCUGGGUAUAACCAGAGCCCGACUGUACACUGGCCCAG